rnacentral:rRNA from 1 species
GACUCCGUGAAGCUGGAUUCGCUAGUAAUCGCGCAUCAGCCAUGGCGCGGUGAAUACGUCCCCGGGCCUUGUACACACCGCCCGUCAAGCCAUGGGAGCCGGGGGUGCUUGAAGUGCGUCGCCGCAAGGCGCGCCCUAGAGCAAAACCGGUGACUGGGGCUAAGUCGUAACAAGGUAAC